rnacentral:rRNA from 1 species
UUGUGGUUAAAAAGCUCGUAGUUGGAUCUCGGCGGACUGAGGGCGGUUUGCUUGCUAGUAUUACUGCCCUAUAGUCCGUAGUUUUGCCAGAGGUUUCGGGGAGCUCUUAAUCGAGUGUCCCGGGAUGCUGGCAGGUUUACUUUGAAAAAAUUAGAGUGCUCAAAGCAGGCUAUUACGCCUGAAUAUUCGUGCAUGGAAUAAUAGAAUAGGAAGUCGUUUCUAUUUUGUUGGUUUUCGGAAAUCGACUUAAUGAUUAAUAGGGACAGUCGGGGGCAUUUGUAUUCAAACGACAGAGGUGAAAUUCUUGGACCGUUUGAAGACAAACUACUGCGAAAGCAUUUGCCAAGAAUGUUUUCAUUAAUCAAGAACGAAAGUUAAAGGUUCGAAGGCGAUUAGAUACCGCCCUAGUUUUAACCAUAAACGAUGCCAGCUAGCGAUCUGCGGACGUUUUUUUUGUAGACUCCGCAGGAAGCUUCCGGGAAACCAAAGCAUUUGGGUUCCAGGGGAAGUAUGGUUGCAAAGCUGAAACUUAAAGGAAUUGACGGAAGGGCACCACCAGGAGUGGAGCCUGUGGCUAAAUUUGACUCAACACGGGAAAUCUCACCAGGCCCGGACACUGGAAGGAUUGACAGAUUGAUAGCUCUUUCUUGAUUCGGUGGGUGGUGGUGCAUGGCCGUCCU